GAAACUAAGCAUCCCUAUGUACGCAUUUUGGGGCGCAUAAUUUUCACCGAAAAAAAACCAAGAAAGCUGAAGCAAUAGCAAUAAUUGUUAGUCCAAAAAAUUAGCUAAAGGUUUGCGCUGGUGUUUUAUAAGCAAUAUUCAACGCGACGUAAAUUAUUAAAGAAAUCUAGUGAAAACACGCCUUUUCCGGUUUCCAGUGCAUUUCGUUAUUGAAUUUUCCAGUUGCACGUCGUCAACUUGCGUCGGCGUUUUUGCGAAAAUAUCGGGGCGUGGACUGUUCAUUUAGAUUAAAAAGACUAACAGAAGCAGCCGAAAAGCACUUGGGUCGGAAAUAUUUGCAAAUAUGAGUGACUUUCAGACGCAGCAGGCGAGUUUAAGUCAAUCGCAGGCUUUGGCAGCUGCCAUACAACGUGCCAAGCAGAUUGCUGCAAAGAUACAACCAAAUCAGCAGCAGCAGUCACAGGGAGGUGGUGGAGGCGACACUAGUGGCCCAUCCGCAGGCGGAGGCAGCACCAACAACUUUAAGCGACAUAACGACGACGGCGAUAGCGGACCAGACUGCAAACGUUCAUUUGGCAGUCCUGACUACGGCCAAAAUAACUCGAACAUGAGCAGUGGUAGCGGUGGCGGUGGCGGUGGUGGUGGUAGUGGCGCCAAUAUGACCCAAGCCAUUGCGCAGGCAGCCGCUGUUGCAGCGCGUUUGGCCGCCUGGCCGGCAUCCACCUGUGAGGAGCAGGUCCGCAUACCGGAGAGCAUAGUUAGCGCAUUUGUGGGACGCAGCGGCAGCGACACGCUUAGUCACCUGGAAGCAGAGUCCGGUGCUAAACUUGAACUGAUGCAGGAUCAAGAGCGGGUUAUAACAUUGCGCGGUACACGCGAGAGCUGCACAAAAGGACGCGAAAUGCUGCAGCAGAUGGUCAAUCGAAACGGUGGGGGCAAUGGUACCUGUGAGGUUCUGUUAACCAUUAAUAUGCCGCCGCCGGGUCCCGGGGGCUACCCGCCGUACCAGGAAAUCAUGAUUCCUGGCGCAAAGGUGGGUCUGGUCAUUGGCAAGGGCGGCGAUACUAUUAAGCAGCUGCAGGAAAAAACCGGCGCCCGCAUGAUUAUCAUUCAGGAUGGUCCCAAUCAGGAAGUUAUCAAGCCACUGCGCAUUUCCGGGGUACCACAAAAGGUCGAGCACGCUAAGCAAAUGGUCUUGGAUCUGAUCGCCCAAAAGGAUGCACUGGCUCAGCAGCAGCAGGGCGGACGCAGUGGUGGUAGCACUGGUGGCGGUAGCUCUGAGCAAAGCUUCAACAACUUUAACAAUGGCAGCGGCGGGGAAAGCGUAGAGGUCUUCGUGCCCAAAAUAGCUGUGGGCGUGGUCAUUGGAAAGGGCGGCGAUAUGAUACGUAAAAUUCAAACUGAAUGCGGCUGCAAGCUACAGUUCAUCCAAGGCAAGAACGAUGAGAUGGGAGAUCGGCGCUGCGUCAUCCAGGGCACACGCCAACAGGUGGAGGAUGCCAAGCGCACCAUUGAUGGCCUUAUCGAGAAUGUGAUGCAACGCAACGGAAUGAAUCGCAAUGGCAAUGGAGGAGGCGGCGGCGGUAGUCAAGGUGGCGGUGAUUCAAACAAUUCCAAUUAUGGCUAUGGGUACGGCGUGAAUCAUGCGCAGGGUGGUCGCGAAGAGAUUACGUUUCUGGUGCCCGCCUCUAAAUGCGGCAUUGUUAUUGGACGCGGUGGCGAGACUAUUAAGCUCAUUAAUCAGCAGUCGGGCGCCCACACAGAAAUGGAUCGCAAUGCCAGCAAUCCGCCCAAUGAGAAGCUCUUCAAGUCCAAGGGCACCACCGAUCAGGUGGAGGCUGCACGUCAAAUGAUAUCCGAAAAGAUCAACAUGGAGUUAACGGUGCUGUCGCGGAAGCCCAUUAGUGGCAGCGGAGGUGGAGGUGCUGGUGGUGGCGGUGGCGCCAACAAUGCCCAUCACAAUCAACAGGCCGGCGGGUACGGAGGCAACCAAAUGCAGGGUGGCGACCCCAACGCAGCCGCGGCAGCUGCCUACCAGCAACAACAGCAGCAACCUUGGGGAGCAUAUGGACAACAGGGCGGCUGGGAUCCAGCCGCUGCUCAACAACAGCAACAAAUGGCUAUGGCAGCAGGUCAGGGCCAAGCAGGUGCCGCUGCUGGUGCAGGUGGUCAAGAUUACUCAGCGCAGUGGAUUGAGUACUACAAACAAAUUGGCUGUCAUCGCGAGGCAGAGAUGAUUGAACAGCAGAUGAAGGCUAAGAUGGCGGCCAGCGCUCCGGGCCCCAGUCAGCAGGCUCCACAACAACAGCAGCAACCUCAGCAGCAGCAACAACAAAGUGGUGGCAGUGGUGCCGACUACAGCGCACAGUGGGCCGAAUAUUAUCGCAGUGUGGGCAAGAUCGAGGAGGCAGAAGCUAUUGAAAAGACUCUCAAGACCAAGCAAAACGGAGCCGGCGCUGGCGGCAACAAUAGUGCGCCCAAUCCGAAUCAAGGCGGUCCAAAUCCAAACCAACAACAGCCCAAUGCAGCAGCUGCGGCAGCUGCAGCAGCAGCCGCCGCUGCAGCGGCCGGUGGCUAUGCCCAAGGUAUGACUCCUAGCCAAUAUGCACAAUAUUCACAGUAUUAUGCUGCAGCGGCUGCUGCGAGUCAUCCGCAAGGGGCCCCACAGCCCCAAGGCGGCGGAGCUGCCAGUGGAGGUGGCCAGGGCGGGGGUCCACCAGCUGGAUAUCCAGGCGGCUAUCCGGGCGGUGCCUAUGGCGGCUAUCCAAGCGGCCCUGCUGGCGGACCGGGUCAGCAGCAGCAGAAAUCACACAAAAACGAUAAACAUUGAGGGGACUGAAACAGAUGCGGGUGCCUUGAAAUGUGAAUCAUUUGAAUUGUUCUACUAUCCUAUGUCUUUUAUCCCCAAUAAAUUAGCAAAAAUUAAUUGAAGCGCAAACAGCUGAGCGAGAAGAAUAUCAACGAGCUCCAACAGUCAAGACAACCAUCAAUCAAUCAAUCAAACAAACAGUCAAUCAAUCAAUUUGCACACUUGCAGCUUGAAGCGUCGCGCUUUGCAUAAAUAUUUUAAGUGACUUUGCCUGAAAUAUUAAUUCUAUGACAACAAAAAAGAGAGAUAAACGAAAAGAAUGCUGUUGCUGUCCAGGUUCAGAUACACAAAUUCUGGGACAAUACACAAAUUGCUAUUUAUAUAUGUAUAUGCAUACAAACAUUUAUAUAUAUAUAUAUAUACAGAUUCGCAAUUAUGUUUGUGCAUAUAAUUUCACAUGCAUAAAAUCUCUUUCGUCGUCAAUUUAGGCAUCUCGAGAGCUGCUGCCAACUAGCCAAUGCACAUGUUUAACUAUGUCCACGUUGGAGUGUGUCGAUUGAAAGACAACAAAUAAACAUAUAUACAAAAUAUGACCUACCUUUUGAUACCACAAAACGUUUCUCUCAUACAUUUUAACUUAGCUUAGUUUUAAUGCAUUCAUAUAACAUUAUACCUUCACAUAUAUUAUAAUAUUAAAUACUACGAUCAACGUGUCUACUGAUCUGGUAAGAAUUUCAACCUGUAAAAUUGCCAAUGGUCUUAUAUAACUUAAACAUUGAACAAAAAAUGCCUAGGAAUAUGUUUUUUUUUUCUCUUGGAUGAAACUGGUUUGUUGAUCUGAGAAUCUUAAGGUUAUAUGUUGUUAUUCAAUUACUAAAAUUUUUAAUUUAAUAUUUCAGUUGAGGAUAAACCCAUAUGAUUCUUUAUAUAGCUUUAAGCCAUAAUUUUCCAUAAAUUUCAGUUCGAUUGAGCAACUUCUUAGGCAGCACCCAUACAAUAUAACCGCAAGGAGCCCAACGCAGAUUCCAUGCUCUCUAAUGCUUGUCCUGUCUGAAUUCUUAGCAAUCUGUUGGCGCAUUUGUUAUAUAUCUUUUUUUUUUUAAUUCCCGAACAUGUACCUAUAAUUUGGUAAGAUCUUUAAUGAUAAGUUUUGCUAAAAAGAAAUGCUCAUAAACAAGUUCACUUAUUUCGAUGAUAUUUUGAGUAUGUGUAUGUAUUUGAAAACUUGAAUACGUAUGUAUAUUAUGCACAUGCACCACAUGUAUGUACUUUCAGAGGCCGUUUGUUAAUCCAGGCAUCUUCAAACCAGUUCAUAACAAUUACAACUUAACCGAAAACCUUAUGAAAAGCCAAUAUAAAAAUAUAUAUAAUAAAUAUAUGAUAGUAAAGUAAAAGCGUGAAACUUGGUAAGAUCUUCUGUUAUUAUUGUGUAUGUCUUACGAAUCUUACAAUUGAAACCAUGAACAUUUUAAUGAGUAAACCAUAUACCGUAGGUCUGCAAUUAUGAAACAUUAUAAAUAUAUAUUUAUAUGCAAUAAAUAGCCUAAGUUUUAUGUCUCUUUAAUAUGAAAAAACAUUAAUGUUGCAACUGCUGAAAAUGAUAUGCACCCUUUCUAAUGAAUAUUUGUACAAGAAAGUGGGCGUGUUGCAAGAUUUACUAAUCUCUUUCGCAGCAGCCUUCGAUACAUUGAAUAAACACAUAAUGACUAUAAUA